rnacentral:rRNA from 1 species
GACGAACGCUGGCGGCGUGCUUAACACAUGCAAGUCGAGCGGAAAGGCCACUUCGGUGGUACUCGAGCGGCGAACGGGUGAGUAACACGUGAGUAAUCUGCCCUUCACUCUGGGAUAGCCACCGGAAACGGUGAUUAAUACCGGAUACGACCACUCCAGGCAUCUGGUGGUGGUGGAAACUUUUUUGGGUGGGGGAUGUGCUCGCGGCCUAUCAGCUUGUUGGUGGGGUAAUGGCCUACCAAGGCUUCGACGGGUAGCCGGCCUGAGAGGGUGACCGGCCACACUGGGACUGAGACACGGCCCAGACUCCUACGGGAGGCAGCAGUGGGGAAUAUUGGACAAUGGGCGGAAGCCUGAUCCAGCAACGCCGCGUGAGGGAUGACGGCCUUCGGGUUGUAAACCUCUUUCAGCACCGACGAAGCGCAAGUGACGGUAGGUGCAGAAGAAGGACCGGCCAACUACGUGCCAGCAGCCGCCGUAAGAC